rnacentral:rRNA from 1 species
AGAGUUUGAUCCUGGCUCAGGAUGAACGCUGGCGGCGUGCUUAACACAUGCAAGUCGAACGAACCUUCGGGUUAGUGGCGGACGGGUGAGUAACGCGUGAGAAUCUGCCCUCAGGAGGGGGAUAACAGUUGGAAACGACUGCUAAUACCCCAUAUGCCGAGAGGUGAAAUGAAUUUCGCCUGGGGAUGAGCUCGCGUCUGAUUAGCUUGUUGGUGGGGUAAUAGCCUACCAAGGCUUCGAUCAGUAGCUGGUCUGAGAGGACGAUCAGCCACACUGGGACUGAGACACGGCCCAGACUCCUACGGGAGGCAGCAGUGGGGAAUUUUCCGCAAUGGGCGAAAGCCUGACGGAGCAACGCCGCGUGAGGGAUGGAGGCCUUUGGGCUGUAAACCUCUUUUCUCAAGGAAGAAGAUCUGACGGUACUUGAGGAAUAAGCCACGGCUAAUUCCGUGCCAGCAGCCGCGGUAAUACGGGAGUGGCAAGCGUUAUCCGGAAUUAUCGGGCGUAAAGCGUCCGCAGGCGGCCGUUUAAGUCUGUUGUUAAAUCGUGGAGCUCAACUCCAUCACGGCAAUGGAAACUGUUCGGCUUGAGUAUGGUAGGGGCAGAGGGAAUUUCCGGUGUAGCGGUGAAAUGCGUAGAUAUCGGGAAGAACACCAGUGGCGAAAGCGCUCUGCUGGGCCAUUACUGACGCUCAUGGACGAAAGCCAGGGGAGCGAAAGGGAUUAGAUACCCCUGUAGUCCUGGCCGUAAACGAUGAACACUAGAUGUUGGGGGAAUCGACCCCCUCGGUGUCGUAGCUAACGCGUUAAGUGUUCCGCCUGGGGAGUACGCACGCAAGUGUGAAACUCAAAGGAAUUGACGGGGGCCCGCACAAGCGGUGGAGUAUGUGGUUUAAUUCGAUGCAACGCGAAGAACCUUACCAAGGCUUGACAUCCUGCGAAUCUCUAAGAAAUUAGAGAGCGCCUUCGGGAACGCAGUGACAGGUGGUGCAUGGCUGUCGUCAGCUCGUGUCGUGAGAUGUUGGGUUAAGUCCCGCAACGAGCGCAACCCACGUUUUUAGUUGCCAGCAUUCAGUUGGGCACUCUAGAAAGACUGCCGGUGACAAACCGGAGGAAGGUGUGGACGACGUCAAGUCAUCAUGCCCCUUACGCCUUGGGCUACACACGUACUACAAUGCUGCGGACAAAGAGUAGCGAUCUUGCGAAAGUUAGCUAAUCUCACAAACCGUGGCUCAGUUCAGAUCGUAGGCUGCAACUCGCCUACGUGAAGGAGGAAUCGCUAGUAAUCGCAGGUCAGCAUACUGCGGUGAAUACGUUCCCGGGCCUUGUACACACCGCCCGUCACACCAUGGAAGUUGGCCAUGCCCGAAGUCGUUACUCUAACCUUUUGGAAGAGGGCGCCGAAGGCAGGGCUAAUGACUGGGGUGAAGUCGUAACAAGGUAACC